GACUUUGGAUUGCUAAAUAGAUAUGGUUUCGAAUACAAAUACAAAAAUUAAAAUUUCGGCGGAUUCAGACUUGAAUAUGGAUUUUGUCUGUACCUGAUUCGAACGUGAAUCCGAUCUGAAUCCAAAUAAAUUUUACAUUACAUUACAUAAUAUGUAUGAAAAUUGGAUGUUAUAUUUGAAUGUGCAUUUUGAAAACUUUGAUUUUUAAUAUAAUAUUUUUUGAAAUACGGUAAAAAAGGGUUUCGGGUUGGAUUUAGUUUUGGAUUGAAUUUUUAAAAUCCGUUACAUUCUAGGU
rnacentral:lncRNA from 1 species